GAUUUUUUCUGCAAAAACAUAUCAUGCAGCAAUUUUGGGGUAACAACAGUAGAAUAACAGAGAUCACAGGCAGACAAGUUACUAAGAAAGAAAUACAUUGGGCUUUGCAAGUCAGAAAUUACCAUGAUUAUAACCAUGGUGCCGAUAUUGCCAAAAGCAGUAACAAUAUAUAUCAAUGAGAAGAAAAUGAAAAGGAAUAUUUGCAAGUUUGGAUCGUUGGUAAUACCUAAAAAGAUAAACUCGCUUACAGUAGUCUGGUUUCCUUCUUCCAUAUGUUCAAGGUAUUUGAAAAUAAUAAAUGCAAC